AGAGUUUGAUCCUGGCUCAGGAUGAACGCUAGCGACAGGCUUAACACAUGCAAGUCGAGGGGCAGCAUAAGGUAGCAAUACCUUGAUGGCGACCGGCGCACGGGUGAGUAACACGUGUGCAACCAACCCCGUACCGGGAGAUAACCCGCGGAAACGUGGACUAACAUCCCAUGAUACUCGAGAGCCGCAUGGCUCUCGAUUUAAAAUUCCGGUGGUACGGGACGGGCACGCGCGACAUUAGGUAGUUGGCGGGGUAACGGCCCACCAAGCCGACGAUGUCUAGGGGUUCUGAGAGGAAGGUCCCCCACACUGGAACUGAGACACGGUCCAGACUCCUACGGGAGGCAGCAGUGAGGAAUAUUGGUCAAUGGGCGAGAGCCUGAACCAGCCAAGUCGCGUGAGGGAAGAAUGGUCUAUGGCCUGUAAACCUCUUUUGUCAGGGAAGAAUAAGGAUGACGAGUCAUUCGAUGCCAGUACUUGACGAAUAAGCAUCGGCUAACUCCGUGCCAGCAGCCGCGGUAAUACGGGGGAUGCGAGCGUUAUCCGGAUUUAUUGGGUUUAAAGGGCGCGUAGGCGGGACGUCAAGUCAGCGGUAAAAGACUGCAGCUAAACUGUAGCACGCCGUUGAAACUGGCGCCCUGGAGACGAGACGAGGGAGGCGGAACAAGUGAAGUAGCGGUGAAAUGCAUAGAUAUCACUUGGAACCCCGAUAGCGAAGGCAGCUUCCCAGGCUCGUUCUGACGCUGAUGCGCGAGAGCGUGGGUAGCGAACAGGAUUAGAUACCCUGGUAGUCCACGCCGUAAACGAUGCUCACUGGAUCUUGGCGAUACACUGCCAGGGUUCAAGCGAAAGUAUUAAGUGAGCCACCUGGGGAGUACGUCGGCAACGAUGAAACUCAAAGGAAUUGACGGGGGCCCGCACAAGCGGAGGAACAUGUGGUUUAAUUCGAUGAUACGCGAGGAACC
rnacentral:rRNA from 1 species